GCUGGCUGCAGUGGUAUGCACCUGGAGUCUCAGCUACUUAGGAAGCUGAGGCAAGAGGAGUGCUUAAGCCCAGCAAGUUUGGGCUCUAGUGUGCUUUGCCAGUCAGGUGUCCACACUAAGUUGGGCAUGAGUAUGGUGGCCUCUUAAGAACAGAGGACCACCAGAUCGCCUAAGAAGAGUUGAACCAGAAAAGGUUGGAAACAGAGCAAGUCAAAACUCCUUUGCUCGGCCAGGCGCAGUGGCUCACGCCUGUAAUCCCAGCACUUUGGGAGGCCGAGGCGGGCGGAUCACAAGGUCAAGAGAUCGAGACCAUCCUGACCAACAUGGUAAAACCCCGUCUCU
ensembl:misc_RNA Metazoa_SRP Metazoan signal recognition particle RNA